AACGAACGCUGGCGGCAUGCCUAACACAUGCAAGUCGAACGAGACCUUCGGGUCUAUUGGCGCAAGGGUGGGUAACGCGUGGGAACCUGCCCUUAGGUUCGGAAUAACUCCCCGAAAGGGGUGCUAAUACCGGAUAAUGUCUUCGGACCAAAGAUUUAUCGCCUUUGGAUGGGCCCGCGUUGGAUUAGCUAGUUGGUAGGGUAAAAGCCGACCAAGGCGACGAUCCAUAGCUGGUCUGAGAGGAUGAUCAGCCACACUGGGACUGAGACACGGCCCAGACUCCUACGGGAGGCAGCAGUGGGGAAUAUUGGACAAUGGGCGCAACCCUGAUCCAGCCAUGCCGCGUGAGUGAUGAAGGCCUUAGGGUUGUAAAGCUCUUUUCCCCGGGAUGAUAAUGACAGUACCGGAAGAAUAAGCCCCGGCUAACUUCGUG
rnacentral:rRNA from 1 species